rnacentral:tRNA from 1 species
GUAGGCAUAGUUUAAUAAAAACAUUAGAUUGUGAUUCUAAAAAAAGAGGUUGAAAUCCCCUUGCCCACC